rnacentral:rRNA from 1 species
UGGCGGACGGGUGAGUAAUGUCUGGGAAACUGCCUGAUGGAGGGGGAUAACCACUGGAAACGGUAGCUAAUACCGCAUAACGUCGCAAGACCAAAGAGGGGACCUUCGGGCCUCUUGCCAUCGGAUGUGCCCAGAUGGGAUUAGCUAGUAGGUGGGGUAACGGCUCACCUAGGCGACGAUCCCUAGCUGGUCUGAGAGGAUGACCAGCCACACUGGAACUGAGACACGGUCCAG